GCAAGGGUAGCUCAGUUGGUAGAGCAGGAUUUUAUUCGUAAAACUCCGUGUCGGUGGUUCGACUCCAUCCCCUUGCUC
rnacentral:tRNA from 1 species